GGGCGAGAUCGCACUAGCACUAAUGCAACGGAUCCCAUCGGAACUCCGCAGUUAAGCGUACUUGGGAGAGAGUAGUACUAGGAUGGGUGACCUAUUGGGAAAUUCUCGUGUUGCAGCCC
rfam:Gossypium arboreum cultivar AKA8401 contig_31033_5, whole genome shotgun sequence.